AGCAAGGGGAAAAUUUAUUUCUAACUACACACAAGGAAAUGUUUUGUUGUGCACUCACUAGCCUUUAAUUAUGUUUUAUUCUGUAUCCAAAUAUAUUUAAACAGUAUUAUUACAUUCUUCUUUAGUUUAUGCAGAACUUGUAUUUGAAUGACAGAAAAUCUGAGUUUCAAUAUUAAUAAUUUGAAGAAGAUAACUCUUAAGUCAUGAGUUCUACAAAGUUCAAACAAGACAGGGAUCUACAUGACAUUUAUAAAAGUUGAAGCAUACAACUUAAACUGAAGAUUUGUUUUUUUUUUUUGAUAAAUAACAUCAAUUCCAUGAUAAAUUUCUAAUAAUAAUUGGUUCAUGAUAAAUUUCUAAUAUGACUUAUCACAGCACUUAAAUUUCUAAUUAAAAAAAGUAGAAUUUCUUAAAAUUAUCACAGCACUUAAAUGGAGAAAAACAAAACCACUUAAGAAAGCAUAGUGAACACUGAUUGCUAAUUUUUUAUCUGGCAAAUACUUCAGUAUUAGAUUUGGUUCAUGAUAAAUUUCUAAUAAUAAUUGAUUCCUCAUCUAUAAAGCACUUCAAAUUAGAUUAAAUUUAGUAGACCUUGUAAACCAUGUUCAGAUGAACAUCCUUUUACUAAAAGAUGACUAUUGUUCAAGAUUUUAUUCAUAGUUACAUACGAAUUUUUUUGUUGGUUUUAUCCAUAUAAAGUUUUGUACAAGCAAAAGUUCAAAAUAACCAAAUACUAGCUUAUGACUUAAAUCCUAUGAAGUAUGAACUAUGAUCAACAUACCAAGAAAUAAGUGCAUAUUAUGAAGUGAAAUAAUAGACCGACCUCCACAAGCUAAAAUACAAUCCAUUUCACAUAAAAAAUUACUUAAUUUUAUAGUCAGAAACCAGAAACUAGGGUUUAUAUCCAAGAAAACCAACUCUAAUCUUGAUUUUUUACUUAGAAUGUAUGGAAGCAUUUUCUGCCUUCAUUAGGAAUCAGUUGAAACUCUAACCUCGGAUUUGCUUCUAUUCUCAACCCACUUCUACUCCCACCAAGAGGGGAAAAAUCCUCUGGAGGAACACAAAGCAGCAAUGUUUUGUAAACUGGGCCAGCAAUUUAACUGGAAGGGGGGGUCUAGUUCCAGUUUCAUGGUUUAAUCAGAUGGUUCAGUCAGAAAAUUUGCCAGACAUGGGUGGUUUUAAUUUAUAUGUACUGGGUCAUGUAUGGUCCAACCAGCGGUUCUGGUGUACUUUUCAGAAUAGUGCAUGGCAGUAGCAUUAUGAAGCACUUGGGAAAGAAAAACACGCAAACAACUUCAAUGAUAAAGUAUUGGAACCACAACCAACCAUUUAAAUGGCCACUAUUAAGCUGGUUUCCGAGUGCCUGCCAGAGAAGAAUGCCAAGGAGUGUCUAUGGAUUCAUUGUCAAAUCUAACAAGUAGUAUCUGGUUUUUCCCAUCAUGCACCCCCUUUAAAGUAGGUUUCAGAACUUCCAACACUAGGCAUGAUAAAAUAGACCUUCGAUGGGUACUCACUUGGAAAUCCUGUGAUAGGGAUCGAUCAGAACCCUUAAAGACUUAUUCUAGGAAGAAGAAAGCCUUACAAGAGGUACUUGAGAUUUGGACUGUAUUGGGCACAAGGGGUAUUUUAUUCAUUGAAUAGUAAAAUAGGAUAGUACAGUCAAUGAUAGAGUCUGAUUUUUCAAGUUAUAGUUUGUUUGUGUUUAAAGUUUUUGAGUCAUUGAAUAGUAAAAUAAAAGUUAUUGAGUCUUCUUUGAAUUGAAAUAGGAUAGUAGACUUUUGUUUUUGAGUCCUACUAGGAUUCUUAUGAGUCUAACAGUUUUGAAUCCUAGGAUUCUUAUGAGUCCAGAGUCUUUAAUAUGUAUGGACGUUUUACACAAAGAUCAAUGAAGUUUAUUUAGUUUUCUUGAGCUUAUGCUAAUUAUGGUGAUUGAUUCCCAUACCCUAUAGUGAUUUUAGGUACCCCAUCAGUGAUUCCAGAUAUUCUCUCUCUUCUUUCUCUCUUUAUUUUCUUUCUUAUUCCUUCAAGAAGCCAAUACAGUCGUAAAUUUCUGAUCAAGAAAGAUCAUUCAACCUUCUCAAAGGGCAGAAAUUGAGUUGGUCCUACAUCAUCCUGAUUCCUUGGGUAUAGGAGUCUUGAUAAACAGCAAGAGAGAGACCCAAGUGCAGUACUGGAACCCUACAGGGAAGUGUGUUUUGCGAUCAGUUCAGUUGUGAGAAAAUCAUGGUAGAUAUGGAUCUCCAAAGGUUUUUCCAGAUGGGACUAGAGAAAAUGCUGUGUAGUUCCCUAGUGUUCUUUAAAAUGCAAAUUAACUACUCUGACGUUGUCUGUCCCACUCAUGGGUAAACAUUUUUAUCAUGAAUAAAAGGAAAGAAACUACUAUGUUGCUAAAACAUCGUCUAUUGGCCUUGUUGACGUUUGGUGUGGCUAAGUAAUUCAACAGCCUCAAUUACACCACCAAAACUGCUACAUUUAUCUUUUGGUAUGAAUGUUGUAACAGUCACAAUUACACCACAAAAAACUGCUACAUUUAUCUUUUGAGAUGAAUGUUGUAACAGUCACAAUUACACCACCAAAAACUGCUACACUUAUUGUGACUUCUCCACUUCCCUAUUUUCUUCUAUAAAAGGGGUGCCUCCUAGGGGUAGUAUGUGUAUGGAGAGAGAGCAUUAGAAGGCUGAAAAGAUUGGGAGAACUUCACCAUCUUCUGACAAGAUCUGCUCYUACUCUGUUUGGAUCGUUCUUCUUCUUCUCUGCUGCCAUUAAGGGUUUCUCUCACACCAGCUCAAAGCAGUCAUCUAUGCCCUUUUUUGAGUGCUCCAAGGCUUUGUUAAAGGCAUUUCGGCACUAGUAAGGUGGUCAGUUUGUAGUUCUCUCAUCAAGGACAUGAAUAAACAUGUUUUCUUUCUUCUCCCGUGGAUGUAGGUCUCUUUGACCGAACCACGUAAAUCUGGUGCCAUCUUUACCUUUCUUUUGCUCUUAUUAUUUGCUUUAUAAUUCACAUUUUCCUCAAUUAUUUUUUCUUGUUUGCCAUACUAAUUAAUCGGUAAUUCAGAGUUUAAUCCUAACAGGCCUGAUUCAGCUAAAACACUAAGCAAGAAUUGCUUCGUUUAAUUUUGAAGAGAUCCACUUCCUACUUUCUAGUAAGGAAAUCUUUGAUUUUUUCUUUCUGCUCUCCUGGUCUGUCGAAUAUAAGGCUUUCUAGAACUCUAAAUUUGACCAAUGUUGUCUCUUGUCAGUGGAUCAAUCAAAUGUUAUGGUGCCAGAGACAACACAAGUACACAACAACUAUAUGCUAAGAUUGAAGAACGAAGGUGAAUCAAGGUCCAGAGUCAUGGAAUUACUCAGUCCACACUAUCGAUAAGAAUA